rnacentral:rRNA from 1 species
GACGAACGCUGGCGGCGUGCUUAACACAUGCAAGUCGAACGGAAAGGCCCUGCUUUUGUGGGGUGCUCGAGUCGCGAACGGGUGAGUAACACGUGAGUAACCUGCCCUUGACUUUGGGAUAACUUCAGGAAACUGGGGCUAAUACCGGAUAGGAGCUCCUGCUGCAUGGUGGGGGUUGGAAAGUUUCGGCGGUUGGGGAUGGACUCGCGGCUUAUCAGCUUGUUGGUGGGGUAGUGGCUUACCAAGGCUUUGACGGGAAGCCGGCCUGAGAGGGUGACCGGCCACAUUGGGACUGAGAUACGGCCCAGACUCCUACGGGAGGCAGCAGUGGGGAAUAUUGCACAAUGGGCGGAAGCCUGAUGCAGCAACGCCGCGUGCGGGAUGACGGCCUUCGGGUUGUAAACCGCUUUCGCCUGUGACGAAGCGUGAGUGACGGUAAUGGGUAAAGAAGCACCGGCUAACUACGUG